AAGACUAUAGACCUGCGGAGUACCUGCGGAGGGAUCAUUCACAAUAAGUGUUUUAUGGCACUUUAAUUCCAUAUCCACCUUGUGUGCAACGUAGUUCGUUUUUCGAACAAAACAUCAACAUUUUAAUUAUCAACAGAUCGUCUGAAGUAUUAUAUGAAUAAAUCAAUUCAAAAUACAACUUUCAACAACGGAUCUCU
rnacentral:misc_RNA from 1 species